AGGGGAAGGUCUGUUUCCUGAGUGAGGAGACUAGCACUUGGGACAAGACAGUGCAGUGCUGGGCAGGCUUGGGGGAGUAGAAGGGAACUCUGGUCUGCUACCUGCCAGGCUGCAGGCCCUGAGGGAAGGGCCUAGCUGGUGCAAAGGGGCUGAAGGGGAAGUGGCCCAGGGAGAGAGGUGCACAAGGGGAGAGAAAGAAGGCAGGAAGGCCACCACCAAAGGGUCCCUGGGUUGGGACCCAGUGUAGAGCGUGGGCUUGGGUCCUCCUCCCCCUUGCACAAACACCCAGCCAGUGGAUGUGGUAAUAGUGGACUGCACCAGGCCCCUGACACUAGGGGUUAGACUUUAGGGGUGUGGUUGACCAUGGUGGCUGGGCCGCAGAGGACUGUGGAUAACACCCCCCCCAGAAGGGGGUGAGGAUGGACUAGGGGGCACUGCCGGAGGGCAGUGGCUUGAAGAGGAUGCCGCAAGUUGGCAGCAAUGUGGAUCCACAUGCCAACCGAGGGCGAAAUAAUGGAUGGGACACCACCAGGAGGGGGCACUGCACUGGACUGAGCUAAUUCCUGGAGUCGCCAGCGGGAGGUGCUGUGGUGGUGAGUUGUUACACCCAUGCUAAAGCCCCACUGACCAGCUGUGGAGGUCCCCUUGCCUUGUGACUGGACUCUCCGGCCAGCUCACAUCUUACUCACUGCUUUUGGGGAAACAGGAUCAAACUUUAACAAUCGCAACAAUGACAACAGCUCCAGCGCCUCUCAACUGAUGACUUUCCCCCAAAAGGGCAGUUAUGACCAGCUAAGAGACUGUCAAACAAGUGAGAUUACUUUCUAAAACCUCACCCGCUAAAGGGAAAUGGAAAAGCCUUAUUUAAAGGACUGCCUUAUUUCAUACUUUCCAUUUCAAAUGCUUUAACUGCUCUUCCUAUUUUUCCCCUGUAUCUUUAAUAAGAGGUUAAAAGGAUUUUUCAUUAUGUGUUUGCCAUGGGCUGAGGUCUCUAUAAACCAAAUUCCAAAAAAAAAAACCUGUUUAGUGUUGGACAAGUUCCAGGGUCAUGUAAAGACCUUUGACUCUUUGAACUCACAUAUUCCAUAAUCUAAAUUAAUACAACAGGUGCCAGGAUGAAAAAAUUUAAGAACCACCAAUGCCAUCAAAGGAGUUUGUUCCCCUCCCAUAUGCUAGGGCUGAAUUUGGUCUAUUUUUGGCAGUUUUGCGCAUCUGAUUUGUAUUCACUAACCCUAAAAUCAAGCCUUUCGAGCCUUUGUUCUUUGAAGAAUUCUGAAAUGGUUUCCACCAACUUCCAGUAAAUAAACAGCCUCUCAACAGGACAAUAAUAACUAAGAGCAGAGAAAAAACAUAAUGCUCAUCCUGGUCUCGCUAAUUGCACCAAAGAAACUAAUUUGCUAAUUGCACUGAAGAAACUAAUUUUCUAAAGAUUAAAAAGCACGAAACUAUCUUUCAAAAGAAAGUGAGCAGCAGCCCAGAUGCUAGGUUCUGACCUGACAAUGUCAAUGUUAUUUCACAUGCUGGAAAGAAAAUCACAUCUGGUUAGACUCUGGAUUGAUAAUAUUCUACAACAUCCAUGGUCACCUAGAACUUCAACCAAGAAAGAACCAUGAUCUUCCUGCUCCAAUAGCACACCUACAGCUGGAGCCAAAGAAGAAGCUGCAAUAGCAAUGAGCAGUAAAGGGCUUAUGACUCAUAAUUUAGCCGUUCUGAUUCUACCCAGGUCAAGCAAUAUUUGUUUGUGCAUCUGCAAACUAGACAUAACCUUUGAAAAUAGACACCUGUGAAGUUCAGCUUCUCAAAUCUGAGUGAGCCGGUCAGUGGAAUAGGCUUGAUUCUUCACACCACACAGUCACUGACAUGAGUGCAAAGUGGGUGUAAAACAACUGAAUGCAUUAAUAACAUUCUAGCCCAGAACACAAACAUGGAUGUGGUGCCUGUGUGGAAACAUUAGCUGUGGUCAGAUCUGGCCAUUUGGACAGGGGGAAAGGCCAAUUUAUAUUCAGGAUGGAAAAGAUUUAGACUUUUGUUACAAUAGCUCACAUCCUAACUGGCAGCUGGUGAGUACUUCUGGUUGCUGCAUACCCCAUGAUAAAGGUUAGGGGAUGAGACCUCAUCUGUCCACAUGCAAGGUUCUGAACGCUGCUUCUCCCCUAAUUUCAUUGGGAAUUGAGGACGCUCAGCACCUUGGGACUUUUCUUAGUCACAACAUUAGAGGGAUAAUCAGGCAGAUCUAUGGGUAAAUCCCCAUGGGAUUUUCUGGGGGAUUUGCU